rnacentral:rRNA from 1 species
GUGGGGAAUAUUGCACAAUGGGGGAAACCCUGAUGCAGCAACGCCGCGUGAGUGAUGACGGCCUUCGGGUUGUAAAACUCUGUCUUUGGGGACGAUAAUGACGGUACCCAAGGAGGAAGCCACGGCUAACUACGUGCCAGCAGCCGCGGUAAUACGUAGGUGGCAAGCGUUGUCCGGAUUUACUGGGCGUGAAGGGAGCGUAGGUGGAUAUUUAAGUGGGAUGUGAAAUACUCGGGCUUAACCUGGGUGCUGCAUUCCAAACUGGAUGUCUAGAGUGCAGGAGAGGAGAGUGGAAUUCCUAGUGUAGCGGUGAAAUGCGUAGAGAUUAGGAAGAACACCAGUGGCGAAGGCGACUCUCUGGACUGUAACUGACACUGAGGCUCGAAAGCGUGGGGAGCAAACAGGAUUAGAAACCCCGGUAGUCC